GAUGAACGCUGGCGGCGUGCCUAAUACAUGCAAGUCGAGCGAACAGACGAGGAGCUUGCUCCUCUGACGUUAGCGGCGGACGGGUGAGUAACACGUGGAUAACCUACCUAUAAGACUGGGAUAACUUCGGGAAACCGGAGCUAAUACCGGAUAACAUGUUGAACCGCAUGGUUCAACAGUGAAAGACGGUCUUGCUGUCACUUAUAGAUGGAUCCGCGCCGCAUUAGCUAGUUGGUAAGGUAACGGCUUACCAAGGCAACGAUGCGUAGCCGACCUGAGAGGGUGAUCGGCCACACUGGAACUGAGACACGGUCCAGACUCCUACGGGAGGCAGCAGUAGGGAAUCUUCCGCAAUGGGCGAAAGCCUGACGGAGCAACGCCGCGUGAGUGAAGAAGGACUUCGGAUCGUAAAACUCUGUUAUUAGGGAAGAACAAAUGUGUAAGUAACUAUGCACGUCUUGACGGUACCUAAUCAGAAAGCCACGGCUAACUACGUG
rnacentral:rRNA from 1 species